GUGGACGAAAGGUGAUUCUCGAUAUUUGUUGUUAAAUGCUAUACAAUUCUGCAAUGGAAUCAUAACCUUUACCCUAGCCAUUCUAGUGGCAAAAACAAGCUGCAACAACACCAUGUGCAACAAGAGAUGACUAGGACGGAUGGCUCUCGACCUUCGCCUCUCCCGAGUCCGUACGGGAGUUGCAGCGAUGGGACAAGACUGUAACUACCAUUGGAUACCACAAAAUUGGGGAGAAAAAGGGGAAGAAAACUGUUACAUAGGACUUCUGCACCUGCCAGUGGAGCUGCCCACUUUUGGAAAAAUGAACCAAAACACACCUCCGGGCUGUGUUAGGGGCUAUUUGACCAAGGAGAGUGAUGAGUGCUGCAUCAGAUGACCUGGCCUCCACUAUCACCCAACCUCAAACCAAUUGAGAUGGUUGGACCACAGAGGGAAGAAAAAGCAGCCAACAAGUGUUCAGCAUGUGGGAACUUCAGACUGUUGGAAAAGCAUUCCAGGUGAAGCUGGUUGAGAGAAUGUCAAGCGUGUGCAAAGCUAUCAUCAAGGUAAAGGGUGGCUACUUUGAAGAAUCUCAAAUAUAACAUUUAUUUUGAUUUGUUUAACACUCUUUUGGUUACUACGUGAUUCUAUAUGUGUUAUUUCAUAGUUUUGAUGUCUUCACUAUUAUUCUACAAUGUAGAAAAUAGUCAAAAUAAAAAACAUGGAAUGAGUAGUUGUCCAAACUUUUGACUG